ACGUUCCUACGGGACGCAGCAGUGAGGAAUAUUGGUCAAUGGGCGGGAGCCUGAACCAGCCAAGUCGCGUGAGGGAAGACGGUCCUAUGGAUUGUAAACCUCUUUAGGCGGGGAGCAAUGCCGGGCACGUGUGCCCGGAGGGAGAGUACCCGCAGAAUAAGCAUCGGCUAACUCCGUGCCAGCAGCCGCGGUAAUACGGAGGAUGCGAGCGUUAUCCGGAUUUAUUGGGUUUAAAGGGUGCGUAGGCGGAUUGAUAAGUUAGAGGUGAAAUGU
rnacentral:rRNA from 1 species